GUAAAUAUAGUUUAAAAAAAACAUUAGAUUGUGAUUCUAAAAACAAAAGUUAAAAUCUUUUUAUUUACC